rnacentral:rRNA from 1 species
GAAACAGUUGCUAAGACUGGAUAGGAAAAGUAAAGGCAUCUUUACUUUUUUAAAAGACCUUCUUUGAAGGUAUGCUUGAGGAGGGGCUUGCGACACAUUAGUUAGUUGGCAGGGUAAAGGCCUACCAAGACUAUGAUGUGUAGCUGGACUGAGAGGUUGAACAGCCACAUUGGGACUGAGACACGGCCCAAACUCCUACGGGAGGCAGCAGUAGGGAAUUUUCGGCAAUGGAGGAAACUCUGACCGAGCAACGCCGCGUGAACGAUGAAGUACCUCGGUAUGUAAAGUUCUUUUAUUAAGGAAGAAAAAAGAGUGGAAAAACUCCCUUGACGGUACUUAAUGAAUAAGCCCCGGCUAAUUAUGUGCCAGCAGCCGCGGUAAUACAUAAGGGGCGAGCGUUAUCCGGAAUGAUUGGGCGUAAAGGGUGCGUAGGCGGUUUAAUAAGUCUAUAGUUUAAUUUCAGUGCUUAACGCUGUUGUGCUAUAGAAACUGUUUUACUAGAGUGAGAUAGAGGCAAGCGGAAUUCCAUGUGUAGCGGUAAAAUGCGUAAAUAUAUGGAGGAACACCAGAGGCGUAGGCGGCUUGCUGGGUCUUUACUGACGCUGAGGCACGAAAGCGUGGGGAGCAAACAGGAUUAGAUACCCUGGUAGUCCACGCCGUAAACGAUGAGUACUAAGUGUCGGAUAAAACCGGUACUGAAGUUAACACAUUAAGUACUCCGCCUGAGUAGUACGUACGCAAGUAUGAAACUUAAAGGAAUUGACGGGACUCCGCACAAGCGGUGGAUCAUGUUGUUUAAUUCGAAGAUACACGAAAAACUUUACCAGGUCUUGACAUUUUCUUGCGAAGUUAUAGAAAUAUAAUGGAGGUUAUCAGGAAAACAGGUGGUGCAUGGUUGUCGUCAGCUCGUGUCGUGAGAUGUUAGGUUAAGUCCUAAAACGAGCGCAACCCUUGUCGUUAAUUGCCAGCAUGUAAUGAUGGGGACUUUAACGAGACUGCCAAUGAAAAAUUGGAGGAAGGUGGGGAUUACGUCAAAUCAUCAUGCCCCUUAUGAUCUGGGCUACAAACGUGAUACAAUGGUUGAUACAAAGAGUAGCUGAAAUGCGAGUUUUUAGCCAAUCUCACAAAAUCAAUCUCAGUUCGGAUUGAAGUCUGCAACUCGACUUCAUGAAGUCGGAAUCGCUAGUAAUCGCGAAUCAGCAUGUCGCGGUGAAUACGUUCUCGGGGUUUGUACACACCGCCCGUCA